UGCAAUGAAGGAAAUAUGCAGUAAUCUCCAAGGCAAGGACAAUGCACCUCCACCUCCACCUCAAUGGAUUGAGGCUAAGAGCCAUGUACAACAAGGACCAUAUGAGUGUGGAUAUUAUGUGAUGCAUUGGAUGUGGUGCAUCGUUAGUGCCGGUUUGAAAAAUGAACUCCACAACUAUUUUUCAGAUGGAACAGCAUUAGACACUGACACCAUGACGACAAUACGCAAGAAAUGGGCAGCCUAUUUGCUAGAAGUUGGAAAAUGGAUGUAAAUUAGACAAAUUUAGAUGACAUAGGAACAUUAAUCACCUUUGUAACGUAAAAUUUUCAUUGCACAAGACACAUCAUUUGUCUGGUCAUGACUUUUAAUUCGGCAUCGUUACAUGAUUAUGGGACUUGUUUACGUUAUUAGUGUGCACUGCUUUUGGGUUGCAUUUUGUAUUGGUCCCAAUAUAGGAUCAGUUUUUUUGUUGUGCAACUCUAAUUGUAUGCAGGUCAGCGUUUGACAUGUUCCUGCUUGGGUCGUUCAGUCC